AAUCCAUGGUGAGAGCAUUCUCUGCUGUAGUCAUUGAAACGCUCCCAUGCGUCAAAAAAAAAGCUCAUCAUGGAACUGUCUGAAUGAGGUGAUCUUGUUCCUCAAUGC